CCUAAAGCUUAGUAGUAACAUUUCCUUGAAAUGAACUAAGCCAGGAAUAUAACGUGCACCGGAGCAUGUUAUCUUCAGAGAGUUGUGAAAAUGGAGUCCUUGUCAGCAGCAAACACAGAAUUCUCUCUCAAUCUGUUCAAGAAGAUCGGUUCUGUGUCUUAACGAAGAGGAGGAUCAUCAUUCCAGCUACAACCAGCUCACGAGUGACUUGAACAAACCAGGAGACUCGUGCACGCUGAGUAUUGCCAAUCGUCUCUAUGGAGAGAAAUCC